GUGGGGAAUAUUCCGCAAUGGACGAAAGUCUGACGGAGCAACGCCGCGUGAGUGAUGAAGGUUUUCGGACUGUAAAGCUCUGUUGUUUAGGACGAAAGUGCCUGUUGCAAAUAGUUACAGGUAUUGACGGUACUGAACGAGGAAGCCACGGCUAACUACGUGCCAGCAGCCGCGGUAAUACGUAGGUGGCAAGCGUUGUCCGGAAUUAUUGGGCGUAAAGAGCAUGUAGGCGGGAAUCUAAGUCUGUUGUGAAAAUGCGGGGCUCAACCCCGUAUUGCGAUGGAAACUGGGUUUCUUGAGUGCAGGAGAGGAAAGGGGAAUUCCCAGUGUAGCGGUGAAAUGCGUAGAUAUUGGGAGGAACACCAGUGGCGAAGGCGCCUUUCUGGACUGUGUCUGACGCUGAGAUGCGAAAGCCAGGGUAGCGAACGUGAUUAGAUACCCGGGUAGUCC
rnacentral:rRNA from 1 species